rnacentral:rRNA from 1 species
GAUGAACGCUGGCGGCGUGCUUAACACAUGCAAGUCGAACGGUGAAGCAGAGCUUGCUCUGUGGAUCAGUGGCGAACGGGUGAGUAACACGUGAGCAACCUGCCCUUGACUCUGGGAUAAGCGCUGGAAACGGCGUCUAAUACCGGAUAUGAGCUGCGAUCGCAUGAUCAGCAGUUGGAAAGAUUUUUCGGUCUGGGAUGGGCUCACGGCCUAUCAGCUUGUUGGUGAGGUAAUGGCUCACCAAGGCGUCGACGGGUAGCCGGCCUGGGAGGGGGACCGGCCACACUGGGGCUGCGACACGGCCCAGACUCCUACGGGAGGCAGCAGUGGGGAAUAUUGCACAAUGGGCGGAAGCCUGAUGCAGCAACGCCGCGUGAGGGAUGACGGCCUUCGGGUUGUAAACCUCUUUUAGCAGGGAAGAAGCGAAAGUGACGGUACCUGCAGAAAAAGCGCCGGCUAACUACGUGCCAGCAGCCGCCGUAAUAC